AUUUCCUCUGCCAUAGCAGAUGGAGUGCAAGAGAACAGAAGAGAAUAUCCAUUUAACUAACAGGAGGCAGGCAUAUUAGUAUUCUAAAUGUAUUCGUGUAUUAAAGGCAGACACUGGCUAUGUCUGAAAAAAGUACCAUAGAGUUAUCAAAAUAUCGAUAACACAUUGGUAGUUUGACAGUGGUUAUAUCCUUUUAAAAAAUCACUUGAGGUUUAUCCUGGUAUUAACUAUACCAUAUAGGUGGGUAGAGCAUAAAUACAUAGUGUACCUACUAAAAGACGUUUGCUUCAAAGAAAUGGUUGAAUUAUAAAAAUGCAGAUAUAUUUAUUACAGUGCAGCAAUUAUUAAAAGAUAUUAAAAAAUUAUAAUAUCACUAGGAUUGCUAAUAUGUUUGAAAUUUAAUUAUUCAAGAAGGAAAUUUAUUUGCUUAUUACACAGUAGACAGUACUGCACAAAAAGGCAGGUAACUAGGUCCUAGUCCCUUUUCUAAGAUCUCUAAAGCACAUCUCUUAAAAAGGAAGAAAUAGUACCAUAACUACUGCAGACAGAGGAAGGCCAGAAUUCCUUCCUUCCCUUUCCCCCCAUUUUUUUUUGUGGUAAAGGCCAGAGUUCAAUUUAACUUGCCUUUUAUUUCAAACAUCAAUGACUUGUUUGUUACUGUAACCUGGGGUCAUAAAAAGGGAGGAAGGAAAAAACUAUACAUUUAUGGAUUCCCUGUGUAUCUAGGGAGCCACUUUCUAUGUUAUUUACCCUCAUUCUCCCCGUCUCCCCCCAAAAAAUGAAAGAGAAAUAAGAGAACUGAUAUUCAUUGAGUACCCACCUGGGUACAUUACCUAUAUUUUUUGCAUUUACUUCCCAAUGAAAUUCCAUAAGUAUAUUUUAUUACCACCAUUUCAACAAUUUAGACUCAGAUUAAAUAAAUUACCCAACACAACACAGUUAAAGAUGGAGCCUGAAUUUAAAAUUAGGCCUCCUUUAAAUAUUUUUUUAAUGUUUAUUUGUUUAUUUUUGAGAGAGAGAGAGAGAGUGCGUGCGAGCAGGUUAGGGGCAGAGAGAGCGGGAGACAGAGGAUCCAAAGCAGGCUCUGCGCUGACAGCAGUGAGUUCGAUGGAGGGCUUGAACUCACAAACCAGGAGGAGAUCAUGCCCUGAGCCGAAGUCACUUAACUGACUGAGCCACCCAGGUGACCCUUCAAUCCUCCUUGACCACCAUGACUGCACAGCUGAAGCGCUUCAAACUCACCUUCUAAAUAUUCAUUGUUUCUUAUCUUCAAAUCUUUAUUUCUACACAAAGACUUGAAUUUAUUCAUAGAGUCUACGUUGUGUUUUGAUUUUUUGUUUUGGGAGGGUUUUGGCUACUUUGGAUGUGUUUAUAUCAAUGUCUCUAAGUAUGUCAUGAGUAUUCAGCAAUAUCAUGGCAAUAAAUUAAAGCUUAAGACUUCCUUCUGAAAUAUUCAUGGUAGGCAAAACAAAAAGUAUGGAAUCCAAAAAAUUGAAUGGUGACUUUUUUUUUUUGCCACAUUAUUGACAGAUACAAGCUGUUCACAUUUUGUUAUUGGGUAAAUUUGUUAGUCCUGUUGUAAAUGCCAUCCUUCUCAUCUUGCAAAGCUAAUUUCAGAAAAGAAAAGCAUUUUUAAAAUAGAAUUUGGUAAUUAGAAGAGACUUAUCAAGGAAUCGCAUGGUUGGAAUUUUUAUAUGUUUGGACCUCACAGCAGUAUAUGACAGAAAGGUUUUAGUAAUUUUUAUUUGAAAAUGGAUGAAUACAAACUAUUCAUUUUCUUAUGUUACACUGUAUCCUAGUAGUUUCUAAACAUGGGAAAUAUAUGUAUACCAGAGAUUACCUGUGAGCCUUACUUGUUCCUACCCCUAUGGGUAACCUCUUUUUGAAUAUAAUAAAAUUAACAUUUUUUUGUUUAGUUUUUUGAAAGUUGGUUGGAAAUACAGAUUCCCAGGGAAGGCAAGAGCACCUGGGCUGGAGUAGAUGCAGAUUCAGUGGAGAAAGAAUCACAUGUAAAAGAGAAAUUAUUCUCAGGACAAGUGUCCAGUCCACAUACUUUUCAGACCUUAAGAGCUUUCUGUUUCACAGGCAAGAGGGCUUUCUAUAGAAGGGUGAUUAGUGAGACGGGUCUGAUUCUAUUUCCAAGAUAAUGUGUGGGGGACAUAUAACCAUAGUACUCAACACUGGUCACUUAAGACACUUUCCUGUUAAAAUAUUACUCCCAAUUGUGGACAGGUUCUAUUCUAUUAGUGAUAUCUAUCAGGUACAUUAUGGAUUUAUUAGAGUGUUGUGAGAGCCCUGGACCUCCAGCUUCCUUUUUUCUUUUUUUUGUUAAAAAAAAUUUUUUUUUAAUAUUUAUUAUUGGGAGAGAGACAGAGACAGAGCGCAAGCAGUUAAGAGCAGAGAGAGAGAGGGAGACACAGAAUCUGAAGCAGGUUCCAGGCUCUGAGCUAUCAACACAGGCUCCACAUGGAGGUUGAACUCACAAGCCUUGAGAUUAUGGCCUGAGCUGAAUUUGGACGCUGAACUAAGCCCCCAGCUUCCUUUUUUCUAUGGGGAAAUUCACACCGAGUGCCACCAUUAAAUUUUUGGAAUCUUAAAAAGUAGCUUGUAAAGUCAGUGAACAAAAAUUUCAUUCCUCAUUUGAGACAUUAAAUAAGGAAAUCAGCAUAUACAAUUUAAGUUUGCUCACUAGGUCUAUAAAUAAUGUGUGUUCUCUUUCAUUGUUUUGUAUAUUGAUGGAUUUUUAUGACUAUAUAAAUAUUUGAAAGACUAAAUACAUACCCUUACUUAAUAAAAACCAAUAAAAUAGAAUGGCUUUCCUAUUUAGAAGGUUUAUGUAUUACUUUAAUUACAAAAAAAAUAAAAGAAAUUGUAGAGGAAUACUAAAAUGCAAUAAAAACAACUAGUUGAGCAUUAAUAUGAUAGCAUAUCAAUAUAGUAAACCUCUAUUCAUUUACCUUGAUUUAGGUGUUAAUUUGCUCAGUUUCUUCCUGUAGUCAGUUCAUUUUAUACAGUGAAUGAAAUCUAAAUGAGACAAAAAUCAAGGCAAUUUACUCCCUAACAGAUGUUGCAAAACAAAUUUUAUCUACUUUGUCUUCCCUCAUAAUUGUUUCACUGACUUUUGUACUUCAGGGGAAGUGGGGAAAACAUCAUUGCAGUCAUCUCCAUAUCAUGAACCUCUGUGAAAAAAAUCACAGAACACAUAGGAACUCCCUACGUUUUAGUAGCUGUCACUUGUAUAAGAAUUUUAGUAAUUGAUUUAAUAUUUUCUUGGCCUGAAUAAUGCAACUGAAAUUCCAUGCCACCACCCCAUCCUCAUUCUCUUGGUUGCUCGGCAACAUAGAACAAAGCAGAGACCCAACCGAACAAAAAAGCAGGUUUAACUGUCACAGAAAUGAAACGUUUUCUUUCAGAUCAGAGGAAACGCCAGAAGUUAUCUGUUGAUAUAUAUAUCUAAUAUGUGUAGACAACAUUUCACAGAUGUUGUCACAACUCUGUGCUGAAGAAAUUAAGUGCAUCCUGUGUAACUCCACUGGUAGACUCUUGGAAGCAUAUGCAUGGUUUCCUACAGACUUCAUACUGAGAGAGCCUUUUCCUGGACUGACUUUAUUUUGAGUCCUUCUGCUGUAAUAUGUAACCAUCAUAAAUACAACAACUUCUGCAUCCUGUGAGACCCUCUAGUGAAUCACUGAGACUGAGGGUUGGUCGUGGGCACUCCCAACAAAGGCAGAAUCUGAAUUUCAAACCACUAUGUAGCAGCACAGAAUUUGAUGGAGAGCAGUAGCUUUUCUGUUGUUCUUAAGUCCACAUAUGAGACUCCAAGAGCUUUUGGUCCAGUUUGAAAUGUCUCUUCUUCACUCCUCCUGACAGUUAUAAGAGGCAUUCAAUCUACUCUGCUUUUCCCACCUCCCCACCUAUUGGUUUUGAGUGAUGGGAAAGUCAAGCUAAAUGUGAGUUUAUUGACCCCCAUAACUCAACAAUCUUGGGAUAGAGCUUGCUUCAGUUUGAGGCUCAGCUCCAAUGAUGCAUCCAUUUCUGGGUUCUGCUGCUGCUUUGCGGAUUACCUUCUCCAGCCAGCUCUUUCCUUAUUGACACAAGGUGGCUGUUGCAACUCCAGUGUCAGAUUCUUUCUUGGAACAAGAAAAAGCCAAAGGUGAAAGUUAAAGCUCAUGAAUUCAGUUUUUGUUAUGUGCCCACAUGAGCCACAUGCUCAGCACUCCCCCGACCACCACCCAAGGAGUCGGCAUGAGCCUCUCCUACCCCUAAAAAAAAUCAGGACAAAGAAUAUUUUCCAGAAGCGGAGUGAGUAGAUACUGAGAGGCGACAAUCACAAUCAGUGUUUACUAGCUCUACCAUCCCCACCACUUAAAGAUCAUUGAUCUCUCAGAUACAGAAAAAGCAUUUGACAAAAUUCAACAUUUAUUCAUGGUAAAAACUUGCAACAAAAGGGUAUAGAAGGAAUGUAUUCAAUGUAACAAAGGCCAUGUAUAACAAGCCUCCAGCUGAUAUAAUCAAUGGUGAAAAGUUGAAAGCUUUUCCUCUAAGAUCAGGAAAAAAAAAUGCCUGCUCUCAACACUUCGAUUCAACAUAAUUAAUACUGGAAGUCCUAACCAGAGCAGUCAGGCAAGAAAAAGAAAUAAAAGGCAGUCAAAUCAGGAGUAAGACGUAAAACUGUUUGCAGAUAGCAUAUUGUUAUAUAUAAAAAAAUCCUAAAGAUUCCACCAAAAAAACUAUUGGAACUAAUAAGUUCAAUAAAAUUGCAGAAGACAAAAUUAACAGAAAAAAAAUCAGUUUUAUUUCUAUACAAUAACAGUGAAUUGCCUGAAAAAGAAGGAAAAUAAUCUCAUUUAUAAUGACAUGAGAAAGAAGAAAAUAUUUAGGUAUGAAUUUAACCAAGUAAGUGUGAAAGAUCUGUAUACUAAAAAGUCUAAGACGAUGAGGAAAGAAAUUGAAGAAAACACAAUUAAAAGGAGAGAUAUCUGAUGUUCAUGGGUUAGAAAAGUUAAUGUUGUUAAAGUGGUGAUACUACUCAAAUCCAUCCUUAGAUUCAGUGCAUUCCCUAUCAAGAUUCUAAUGGUAUUUUUUACAGAAAAGGGGGGGAAAACACCAAAAUUCAUAUGGAGCAACAACAAUAAAAAAAAAAAAAAGACCCUGAAUAGCCAAAACAGUCUUGAGAAAGCAAACAAAG